GAUUCCAUUUCUUUAAGUCACUGGAGUGUUAUUUUACAUUUCAGUGUCUGCAUAACUGCAUUGCCUUUGUUUCUCAGUUGCAUUAAGAAUUCCCUGGCAUAUCAAGGCUAGUGAAUGUCAGUGAAGAUAACUAUCAACAUGUAAAAUACUUCCAACUACAGGAAUGUGUGGCUUGAAAACAAUUAAAUGAACAGGGCUUCCUGUAAUAAGUGGGAGCCAAGGGAGGACAAAUUAACUCCAACUACUCGAAAGAAAUAAUGGAUUCAACUAUUUACUGCAUAAUGUGCUAAAGAAAGAAAAUGGAGGCCUGGCGCAGUGGCUCAUGCCGGUAAUCCCAGCACUUUGGGAGGCCAAGGUGGGCGGAUCAUCUGAGGUCAAGAGUUCGAGACCAGCCUGAUCAACAUGGAGAAACCCCAUUUCUACCAAAAAUACAAAAAAAUGAACCUCGUGUGGUGGCACAUGCCUGUAUUCCCAGCUACUCAGGAGGCUGAGGCAGGAGAAUCGCUUGAACCUGGGAGGCAGAGGUUGCAGUAAGCCAAGAUCAUGCCACCAUUGCACUCCAACCUGGGCAAAAA
rnacentral:lncRNA from 1 species